rnacentral:rRNA from 1 species
GCACGGGUACGGGGAAUCAGGGUUCGAUUCCGGAGAGGGAGCCUGAGAAACGGCUACCACAUCCAAGGAAGGCAACAGGCGCGCAAAUUACCCAAUCUAGACAGUAGGAGGUGGUGAAGAGAAUUACUAAGUGGUGGUCUAAUAGAUCACUUGUUUGGAAUGAACGUAACUUAAGAAAUUCGUUGAUAAACAACUGGAGGGCAAGUCCUGGUGCCAGCAGCCGCGGUAAUUCCAGCUCCAGUAGUUUGCUUUAAAGUUGUUGCGUUUAAAACGCUCGUAGUUGGAUCACGCAGCAGUGUUGAGUAAUCUAAAGUAAGGAGAGGCAAAUGAGUUCGUCACAGACGACCAUUUUGCUGAUUCAUGACGAUAGAUAUACAUGCUGAACACUGUUAGUUGCACGUGAGAUAGAUUGUUGGCCUUUAAUGAGCCGGUAUUCUCGUCUUGCGGGGUGUGCCUUGAAUAAAACAGAGUGCUUAAAGCAGGUUAUUGCCUGAAUGUUAUAGCAUGGAACGAACAAUCGUGUAUAUGUGCGCGUAUUUGACUGGUGGCAAGCCUUUGGUUUGUCGUUGGUUGAAACGUGCACGGCACCCACCAAAAUAUGGCUGUUGGUUCCAUAUACGGUGAUGAUUAAAAGGAGCGGUUGGGGGCAUCGGUAUUUGGCCGCGAGAGGUGAAAUUCUUAGACCGGCCAAGGACUAACAAAUGCAAAGGCACUUGUCUAGACCGUUUCCAUUAAUCAAGAACGAAAGUGGGAGGUUCGAAGACGAUCAGAUACCGUCAUAGUUCCCACCGUAAACUAUGCCGACCUGGGAUCAGCUCAGAGAUGUUACAAGCUCUGGGUUGGUCCCCCUGGGAAACCUUAAGUUUUUCGGUUACGGGGAGAGUAUGGUCGCAAGGCUGAAACUUAAAGGAAUUGACGGAAGGGCACCACCAGGGGUGGAGCCUGCGGCUUAAUUUGACUCAACACGGGGAAACUUACCUGGUCCGGACAUCGAUAGGAUUAACAGAUCAAUAGCUCUUUUAUGAUCCGAUGAGUGGUGGUGCAUGGCCGUUCUUAGUUCGUGGAGUGAUCUGUCAGCUUUAUUGCGGUAACGAACGAGACCACAGUCUCCAUUUAAGAGGUAAGAGUAGGCGAUCCUUGUCUCUCAAGUGUCUUGUGCAUUUGUCGGCGAGUCGCUGUAGGAAGAGUGGUGUGCUUUGUUGAUGCACUUGUUGAGGUAACUUGGCAGGGGCGCUGGCAGAGUGUGACAUUUCUCCCUUUUAUCACGCAGCAGUUGGUUCCCACUGGCUGUUGCCUUAUGGAGAGACAACGAGGUAUAGACAAGCUCGAGGAAGAGUGGCUAUAACAGGUCAGUGAUGCCCU